AGGCAAAAUCCAAGCCUGGCCACUUAGUCGUUGAACGUCAUUUCACCUCUCUAAGCCUCAGUUUCCUUAUCUGCAAAAUGGACCAAUUGUGACUAGAUAAUGAGAGAAGCCAUGUAACAGUAUAGUUCCAAUUGCCAGUCCAUGAACGAGUGCUGCUCCAGGAUGAUUAGUAUAGUCUAUGAGUGUGUCAGUGUGAGGAUGCUAACUACACAUUCUUGAAAGGACUGCCCUCUGUUCUGAGUUACAGCCCUCCUCCUUCUCUUCCCCCUCUUCCUUGUUCUCCAUUUUCUUCCCUUUCCC
rnacentral:lncRNA from 1 species